AUACUUCCCUGGCAGGGGAGACACCAUGAUCAGAAGGUGGUUUUCCCAGGGCGAGGCUCACCCAUUGCACCGCCGGUGUGCUGACCCCUGCGAGUUCCCCAAAUGAAGGAAACUCAACUGCAUAAUUUGUGGUAGUGGGGGACUGCGUCCGCGCUUUCCCCUG